AUAGUUGUCUCCUUUUGGAAUGAGAUUUACUUAUAUUCCCCCUGGAUGAGAUAGGGGUGCUAAUAUACUAGCUAGUCUACAAUGAUUGAAAUUAAAGUUCGCACGAAUAACUGACACUGGUCCCUUGUCAUUCAGAUUCUGUAGAUAGGUUGUAACUACUAAGAGAGAUACCAGAAGAAUCAAAGUGUAACAGGAAUGGAAAACUUAGACCAAGUCAGAAAAGGUAAGAAAA